AAAACAUGUAGAAUUUAUUUAAACUAUAGCCUAUUUUGAUUUGACUAUCUCAGCUUUUAAAAUUUUGACUCUACUAUCUAACCUUGUUAUUUAUUUGAUUUGAAUUGGCCAAUAGCACGUUGACUUUAAUAUUUAAACAAAUUUCUUACUUUAAUAAAUUUAUAGCUGUGAAAAUACAUAAAGUAUACUAACUAAGUUUGUAAAGAUAAAUAGAGUUCAAAUUUGAAGUCAAAAUGCCGGUAAUCGGCUCAAAUCAAACAAAUUGAAAAGUUAGAUAAUAAAAUUAAAAAUUUUAAAACAUGAGAUAGCCAAAUCAAAAUGGUCCUUAAUUUGAAAUUUUAAUUUUACUGGUUUAAUUUCUAACUAUUUAAUAGAUUAUGUGAUAUAAUAUGUGUACGCUUUAUUUUUAUCUUAUUGAAAUUAAAUUAGAAAUUUAAAACGAACUGUGAUUUCGAAUUUUGUAAGCUCUAUUUAGUAUUGCAGGAAAUAAAAGAAUAUUUUAAUUAUUUGCUUUCGUAA
rnacentral:lncRNA from 1 species